rnacentral:lncRNA from 1 species
GCACCUGACCUCUUAAAGAAACACAAAUUAAACAUAAAAAACCGUAUUUAUUAGGAGAUAAUUCAGUUAAAUUUUCAAUACUAAAUCAACAACUGAAAUGAAUCCAUAUUUUGUUGAAACAUCGUACGAACGGCGGAAAACGGAAUCGCAUUUAUAAAAAUGUACUUUUUUUCACUCGUACUUCUAUGUUAUUUGAUAGUCAAACGGUUGACCCUUUAAAUACAAAAAUACAUCUUCAAGAACAUAUUCUGAAACUUCUUAAAUUCACUAACUUUUUUUUAAAGUUUCAAGCUAUGUAUUGCAUUAGAAAACAUACAUAGGUGUUAAAGAAUGACUGACCAGGAGCCUGUUUAACAAAAUACUAUGGCUCGAUCUGGGCGGAGUCUCUGAUCUGGGUCACAAAGAUGGCCAUACGCGACGGCAUAAAAGCAAUUGCUUUAAAAAUUGAAAUGCAAUUUCCAGUCGAUAUGCACAACUACAUAGUAUGUCCUUAUUAUCUGAAAAGGUUUCGUGAAAUUUUGUUGUGUGGUUUGAGAGGAGUUGCGAUGACAAACUGUUGCAGUAGUACAUUAAAGUAAAUAAGUUCAAAGGGGGGUAACUCCUAGAAAAAAAAUUGAAUCGCAAUUUCCUGUCGAUAUGCACAACUACAUAGUAUGUCCUUAUUAUCUGAAAAGGUUUCGUGAAAUUCUGUUGUGUGGUUUGAGAGGAGUUGCGAUGACAAGAAACAGGACUGACGGACGGACGGACGGACGGACGGACGGGUCAAAAACAUUAUACCCUCCGCAACUUCGUUGCAUGGGGUAUAAAUAUAGUAAUACAGUUAAA